GAACUUUCCUGGCAGGGGAGUUACUAUGAUCAUGAAGGUAGUUUCCCCAGAGUGAGGCUCACCCAUUGCUCUCCGGGUGUGCUGACCCCUGCAAUUUCCCCAGAUGUGGGAAACUCGACUGCAUAAUUUGUGGUAGUGGGAGACUGCAUUCACGCUCUCCCCUG